rnacentral:lncRNA from 1 species
ACUGGGUGAAGAUGACUAUCAUGAACUUGGACUUGAUUCACUGAAGGUGGCCUCUAUUCGUUUCUAUCAGAUUUCGCUUCAAAAAUUUUGGACCUUUGUUACUAGGUACAUAAACAUCUGAGGUGUUUAUUGGAGCUCUUUGCCUAGAACUGAUAAUUGGAUUCAUGGUAUUCUGGAGAACAAGGAAACAGGCUGAGGAAGAAUAAGAGACUUGCUUGAGGAAGAAAACUGAAGCCCAGAAAGCUUAAUAUAUUACCCAAAGAGUUAGUCCACAUUGAACUGGGAGUUAAUCCUUGUCUGUCUGGCUGGAAAGCUUUUGCUCUGUAUCUUGGAUGAAUAAACUAAACCUUAGGGAAUCUUCCUAGAAGAAACCAUAUAACGCCUCCUGUACGAGAAGUUAAAUUACAACACAAAGAUUGCUUGGUGAGCAUGUGAUCAAAACAGGGCAAGAUGAAGACCUUUAGAGGCCACAAGCAUUUUAGUGUGCCUCCCAACUUCCCUUAUAUUAUUCAAAAUAUAAACAAUAAAAUCUACAAAGAUGUGAAAGAAGUCCAACAAAAGCUUUAUUUUUUUUAUGAUGAAUACUUUUAAAACUUCAUUGAAAUAUCAAAUAUCAUAUUCUUUUAAAACGAUUUUUUUUUCUUUUUGCAAUUUGUUUUGUUGGUAUCCAAAAUACACAGUUUUUCUGCUGGGCUCCGAACAAGAGGAGUUAAUUUUAGUCCUUAGAGUUUUGACUGCAACAAGC